rnacentral:rRNA from 1 species
GAUGAACGCUAGCGGCAGGCCUAACACAUGCAAGUCGAGGGAGGAGCCCUUUCGGGGGCAGAAACCGGCGCACGGGUGCGUAACGCGUAUGCAACCUACCUUUCACAGGGGGAUAGCCCGAAGAAAUUUGGAUUAAUACCCCAUAAUAUUAUUGGAUGGCAUCAUUUGAUAAUUAAAACUGCGGUGGUGAAAGAUGGGCAUGCGUCCUAUUAGCUAGUUGGAGUGGUAACGGCACCCCAAGGCUACGAUAGGUAGGGGUCCUGAGAGGGAGAUCCCCCACACUGGUACUGAGACAGGGACCAGACUCCUACGGGAGGCAGCAGUGAGGAAUAUUGGUCAAUGGUCGGAAGACUGAACCAGCCAUGCCGCGUGCAGGAAGAAUGCCUUAUGGGUUGUAAACUGCUUUUAUAUGGGAAGAAUAAGGCGUACGUGUACGUUGAUGACGGUACCAUAUGAAUAAGCAUCGGCUAACUCCGUG